CCUACGGGAGGCAGCAGUGAGGAAUAUUGGUCAAUGGGCGGGAGCCUGAACCAGCCAAGUCGCGUGAGGGAAGACGGUCCUACGGAUUGUAAACCUCUUUUGCCGGGGAGCAACGGGGUCCUUGCGAGGGCCCAAUGAGAGUACCCGGAGAAAAAGCAUCGGCUAACUCCGUGCCAGCAGCCGCGGUAAUACGGAGGUGGCAAGCGUUGUCCGGAUUUACUGGGUGUAAAGGGCGUGUAGCCGGGUUGACAAGUCAGAUGUGAAAUCCUGCGGCUUAACCGCAGAACUGCAUUUGAAACUGUUGAUCUUGAGUACUGGAGAGGCAGACGGAAUUCCUAGUGUAGCGGUGAAAUGCGUAGAUAUUAGGAGGAACACCAGUGGCGAAGGCGGUCUGCUGGACAGCAACUGACGGUGAGGCGCGAAAGCGUGGGGAGCAAACAGGAUUAGAUACCCUUGUAGUC
rnacentral:rRNA from 1 species